rnacentral:rRNA from 1 species
UACGUAGGUGGCAAGCGUUAUCCGGAUUUACUGGGUGUAAAGGGCGUGUAGGCGGGAAAGCAAGUCAGAUGUGAAAACCAUGGGCUCAACCUGUGGCCUGCAUUUGAAACUGUUUUUCUUGAGUACUGGAGAGGCAGACGGAAUUCCUAGUGUAGCGGUGAAAUGCGUAGACAUUAGGAGGAACACCAGUGGCGAAGGCGGUCUGCUGGACAGCAACUGACGCUGAGGCGCGAAAGCGUGGGGAGCAAACAGG